UACGUAGGGUGCGAGCGUUGUCCGGAAUUACUGGGCGUAAAGAGCUCGUAGGUGGUUUGUCGCGUUGUCCGUGAAAACUCACAACUCAAUUGUGGGCGUGCGGGCGAUACGGGCAGACUGGAGUACUGCAGGGGGAGACUGGAAUUCCUGGUGUAGCGGUGGAAUGCGCAGAUAUCAGGAGGAACACCGGUGGCGAAGGCGGGGUCUCUGGGCAGUAACUGACGCUGAGGAGCGAAAGCGUGGGGGAGCGAACAGG
rnacentral:rRNA from 1 species